CAAUGCGGGAGGGCUUGAGUUUUCGGCCGCUGGCACCCAUAAUCCUCGGCAUGGUCGUAAUUCCGGCAAACCGGAUGCGUUCUGGACGCGGGUUCGAUUCCCGCCACCUCCACCACUGCGGGGGUGUACUGGUUUCGACAGGGCGAGAGAUGGCGCGCAGGCGACCCGAAAGGCGACGGACGUAAUCC
rnacentral:tmRNA from 1 species